rnacentral:lncRNA from 1 species
CCCCCUCUGCUUUUCUAGUAUAAAGAUGCUUUGUGUUUUAUGAAAAUAUCGAAAUCACAAAGCGGGGGUAAAACAGUCUUUGCAUUUUAUUAGAUACUAAAGCAGGACUAGAUUGAAACAACAGUGGACUGAAGAUAAAUGUGUGAUGUUAAUUUUUUGGUCCUCAUUGAUUAAGGAUUUUCUUUUGGCAGGUAGACUUCCCAAUAGA